rnacentral:hammerhead_ribozyme from 1 species
GCACUGUUGAGGAGUCCCGCAACAGGACGAAAUGGCCGUCCAGUGC